rnacentral:rRNA from 1 species
GACGAACCGUGCGAACGUUAUUCGGAAUCACUGGGCUUAAAGCGCGUGUAGGCGGGCGGGAACGUCGGUUGCUGAAAGCCCCCGGCUCAACCGGGGAACGGGCGCCGAAACGACCCGCCUCGAGGGACGUAGGGGGACCUGGAACUUCCGGUGGAGCGGUGAAAUGCGCUGAGAUCGGAAGGAACGCCCGUGGCGAAAGCGAGGUCCUGGACGUCUUCUGACGCUGAGACGCGAAAGCUAGGGGAGCGAACGGG